AAUGCCCUAGGCAACACCCCCGAGUGGGGCGAAUGAGCCUGGCGGGUUACCCCGGCCAAA
rnacentral:snoRNA from 24 species